CUGGUAGUCCACGCCGUAAACGAUGUCGACCAGCCGUUGGGUGCCUAGCGCACUUUGUGGCGAAGUUAACGCGAUAAGUCGACCGCCUGGGGAGUACGGCCGCAAGGUUAAAACUCAAAUGAAUUGACGGGGGCCCGCACAAGCGGUGGAGCAUGUGGUUUAAUUCGAUGCAACGCGAAGAACCUUACCUACUCUUGACAUCCUGCGAACUUGUGAGAGAUCACUUGGUGCCUUCGGGAACGCAGAGACAGGUGCUGCAUGGCUGUCGUCAGCUCGUGUUGUGAAAUGUUGGGUUAAGUCCCGUAACGAGCGCAACCCUUGUCCUUAUUUGCCAGCGCGUAAAGGCGGGAACUCUAAGGAGACUGCCGGUGACAAACCGGAGGAAGGUGGGGACGACGUCAAGUCAUCAUGGCCCUUACGAGUAGGGCUACACACGUGCUACAAUGGUCGGUACAAAGGGUUGCCAACUCGCGAGAGUGAGCCAAUCCCGAAAAGCCGAUCUCAGUCCGGAUCGGAGUCUGCAACUCGACUCCGUGAAGUCGGAAUCGCUAGUAAUCGUGGAUCAGAAUGCCACGGUGAAUACGUUCCCGGGCCUUGUACACACCGCCCG
rnacentral:rRNA from 1 species